UACAUGGGGUGCAAACGUUGCUCGGAAUUAUUGGGCGUAAAGAGCUCGUAGGCGGUUUGUCGCGUCGGCUGUGAAAACUCGGGGCUCAACCCCGAGCCUGCAGUCGAUACGGGCAAACUAGAGUGCUGUAGGGGAGACUGGAAUUCCUGGUGUAGCGGUGAAAUGCGCAGAUAUCAGGAGGAACACCGGUGGCGAAGGCGGUUCUCUGGGCCUUACCUGACGCUGAGGAGCGAAAGCGUGGGGGAGCAAACAGG
rnacentral:rRNA from 1 species